UCCCACCAGGUUCUGUCGGUAGAGCAUGAGACUCUUAAUCUCAGGGUCGUGGGUUCGUGCCCCACGUUGGGCG
rnacentral:tRNA from 1 species